rnacentral:pre_miRNA from 1 species
UCGAGGAGCUCACAGUCUAGUUGUGCCUUUUUGUCUCCACUAGGCUGGGAGCUCUUCGUGG